rnacentral:lncRNA from 1 species
GUGCUUUCAUUGAUAAAUUAAUAAAAGAGUCGAACAAGUUUGUUCAUAUUGCGUGUUUGUUUAUUCGAUCAAGGGCCUGAUUUUCAACAAUUGGUAUCAGAGCGCGGUUUUGAGAGUCGUUUUCCGAUAAGGGGGUGCCUCCCCUCGCGGGGUUUCACUGGCAGCAAACCAGCGGAGUAGUUGAAGACGAAGCUGGAGAGAAAAAAUAGGAAUGAAAGCAGUUAGGUCGGCAAUUAGAGAUCACGGCAAAGUAACAAGUUUUGUUGAAUGAAAAGUUGUUUUAUUCAACAAGAUAAGGUUCAAGUUUGAGAUUGCUUGAAGAUGUUUAUUCAGAAGUGGCAUCCAUAAAGAAAAAGGUCGGUGAAAUUUGUUUCAUAUUGAUCAUAUUUGCGUGGAACCAAGAGAAUCAUCAUGGGCUCACAUGGAACCUUUAGUGGGCUGAUGAUCAUUAAGUUGUGGAAUGGUUUCAUUAAAAUUAAUUCAAGGAUGCUGUCAAGAUAGAGCAAAGUUUUCGUUGGUUGUUUUGAUAGCAAGGUGAACAAUAAAAGAAAAAUUUGGGCAGUGCCUUGGAGGAUAGUAACAGAAACAUAAGCGAGUUUAUGUAAGAUUCUCGCAAGAAAGAAGAAAGAAAGAAGCAGAUUCAGAUCAGCAAAGAAAGAAGAAAGAUAGUGCAACCUGCGUGAGAAAGAAGAAAGAAGAAAGAGAGGUGCCGUGAGAAAGAGAAAGAAGAAAGUUCGGUGCCGUAAGAAAGAAAGAAAAAAAACGCAGGUGCAACUCAGGAAGAAAGAGACCGAGAAAGAAGAAAUCGACAAAGAAAGAAAGAAAGGUCAGUCGAUUCAAAGAAGAAAGAAAGAAAGAUGGUGUUGCAAGAAAGUAAGAAAGUAGCAAGCCACAAGAAAGAAAGAACGGAAGUCGAUCAGAAAGAAGAAAGAUAAUCGAUAACCGAAAGAAAGAAAGAAGCGAACUUGUGUGGUUCGUAAAGAAGAACGAGAAAGACCGAACCGCAUGGUUCGAAUAGCAAGUUAGAAAGAAAGUUGAUUCGAAGCAAGCAAGCAAGAACGAAUUAGCAAGUAGCAAGAAGCGAGGUCAAGGGAUUGGAGUAGUCGAUAACGAUGCGGAUAUGAAGUGAGUCCAAUUCAAGAUUAAGGGGGAGAAUGAAGAAGUUAAUCUUGAAUUAGGAGAUAAAGAUAAAGACGGGCUAUAGAUAAUUAUACUGAAUUGUUUAUUGAGUCUUUAUAUGGAUAAUUGUUAGGUUUAUUAGAUAGGUUUAUCUAGUUUGUAGGCUUUGAAUUAUGGUAGGUUUAGGAUGUCAUGCAAGUAAAUUAAUUCUAGUAUGGGUAGGAUAGGAUGUUUUGUUUAUUUUAUUAAUAGAGUUUGAGUCGGGUUAGGACUAGAAUAAGUUUAGUAUAAAUAGAUGGUUAGGGUCAUUGUAAUUAGUGUGCUUUCAUUGAUAAAUUAAUAAAAGAGUCGAACAAGUUUGUUCAUAUUGCGUGUUUGUUUAUUCGAUCAAGGGCCUGAUUUUCAACAUCAUGUACCCAAAUUGGGUAUGCUUAUCUAUGUGGGAACAUUGCCGCCAUCUAUUUUGGGUACUCCAAAUCGUUGAGUAG